GUAAGUAGGGAAAGCACAUAAUAAUAUCAUCAUUUUACCCAAAAGGAAACAAAAAGGAGAAAACUACACUUAUUUCAUUUGAUAAAGAGACUUCUCUUUCCUUCUCUAUAUUUUUUCACUUCCCUCUUCUUCCUCCUCCUCCUUCUUCUUCUUCUCUCUUUGGGAGAAUAUCUAAAUAAAAGAGAGCAAAAGAAUUAAAGAGAAGAGCUACAAAAAAUAGCUAUGAAAAACGCCAUUAGAUGUUGUAUAGCUUGUAUUCUACCUUGUGGGGCACUUGAUGUAAUUCGAAUAGUUCAUACAAAUGGUAAAGUUGAAGAAAUAAGUGGAAAUCAUGUAAAAGCAGCUGAAAUCAUGAAACAUCAUCCAAAACAUGUUUUAAAAAAACCAUCUUCAUCUUCUUCUUCUUCUUCUUCGUCUUCUUCUUCUUCAG
rnacentral:lncRNA from 1 species